rfam:Myotis davidii contig92444, whole genome shotgun sequence.
UGCAGUUCUCAGGUGAUGCCCCCUGGAAUCGGGCCCCCUCCACUCUGGUUCCGGGUGUGUCACCUGAGAUCCACU